AUGGGCACCCUUGGGUCCCUUGGGGUCACUAUGUUACACCUGCUUUUUAUCUGUCUGGGCAAGAGCUGCUCAAGCCACACCUUGUGACACUGAGGUGAAAAGGCAGGUCGGGUGAAGAAGAGCAGGAUGUUUCAUUUUUAUCAAGCAUCACCUGAUUCAAAAUGUAGCCACUGAAAAGAAGCCAUCGUUUUUGGCCUGCGUCUCUGAGGAUAAGAUAGUGCGUGGGUGAUGGAUGCAGCCCAGCCUCAGGAGGACAACGUCAGAAACCAAAAGCUCCUCUGCCCAGGGAUGGGGACCCGCCGACUUCAAGGGCAGAACAGAUCAGCUAUGAAAAUACCCAGCCGGCCUGCAGCCCUCCCGGCAGAUGCUGAAAAGGAAACCCGACUGGGAGAUGCCGCCCACCCUUAUCCCCAGAGAGCUGCGUUGUUUCCUCUUGCCUUGGCCUUUGGAUCCGGCCAUAGCAAGCAUCCCUGGGCACCUGGCUGAAGCUGGAAACUCGGGAUAAGAAUGGAAGCCCUGGAAGGGAAGAAGAACCGAGGAGAGGACAGCACAUUGCACUCUCACCUCCUUUGCAGUUAAGUGUGAAAUAGUGCCAAUAGAGUGUAAAAGAAAAGAAAGAAGAUGAUUCACCUCCCAAAGAUUCCCCACUGCUGUGUCCCUUCUAUCAACUUGAUACAAAAAAACACAAUGGCCCCGGGAACCACGUGUUGAAGAUGAGAGAGCUAAAAGAUGGAAAGAGACUGGAGCCCUGAGUCACCACCUGGAGGAAAACUACCCACCCAUCAGGAAUUUCUACUACACAUUUGGGAGUUUUUGGGGUUACAGCAGCUAAUUUAACGAAAACACCCAGAGACAAGAGCUAUUACUGCACAAAUUGGUUAAGUUACCUUUUUGUAUGUUUGGGUCCUCUCUAUUCGAUGAGACUGCGCGUUCCUUUGAAGCAAAUCUGUUUAAAAUUCUUAUAUCCCCAGAGGGCCUAGCAGAGAGUAUGCACAGAGUGAGCCUUCAGUAAAUGCUGAGUAAAUAAGCUCCUAAUGGAUGAAACUGUGUCUUCGAAGUUUGUUCUGACCAGUACUUAGUAUAGGAUUUUGUGCUGUUGGUCACUUUUCAUAAAGGUUCUUGCUAUUAAGGAACUUGACAUCCAAUGUACUCAUAGAAAGUAGAAAUUCAGGGGAAACAAAUAGAAGAGAUAUGUCCAAAAAUCCAUUUAAAAUUUCAUUGACAGAUAUUUAUCUCUUUAAUCCUGGAAGUUGUUUCAUGUAAGGGAAGGUUCAGUAGAAUGAAAACAGGACUGUAAGCUGGGAGGAGAUUUGGGGUCUCUUGGCCAACUCUGCCACAAAUUGUGUUACCUUCAACUUCCCUGCCUGUAAAAUGAAGUCAGUGGUCCCUAAAAUGAAAUUGGACUAAUGGCAAAUUAGCUAGCAUUUGAUUAUACAUCGAUAGUUUCCCCAUGUGAUUUUAACGCACAAAUCAGAUUUUGGAACCAUUAGGUAGGUGAUCUUAUCUUAUGAGUUUAUCUUUUUCAACAUGGAAAAAUAAAUUUGUUUUGCUGACCGAAGGCUGUGUAACUUAGAACUGGAAAGAGACAUGUAAUUGAAUAACCCAUCUCUAUGGGGCAAAAAAAUGAAACACCUUUAGUUUGUUCAAAGAUGAAAUGGAAAAAUAAACAUGUUUUAAGAU
ensembl:lncRNA LINC01093 long intergenic non-protein coding RNA 1093